rnacentral:rRNA from 1 species
UACGGGGGGAGCAAGUGUUGUUCGGAUUUACUGGGCGUAAAGGGCGCGUAGGCGGCCACCGCAAGUCGACUGUGAAAUCUCCGGGCUUAACCCGGAAAGGUCAGCCGAUACUGCGGGGCUAGAGUGCAGAAGGGGCAACUGGAAUUCUCGGUGUAGCGGUGAAAUGCGUAGAUAUCGAGAGGAACACCUGCGGCGAAGGCGGGUUGCUGGGCUGACACUGACGCUGAUGCGCGAAAGCUAGGGGAGCGAACGGG